GAACACUUAGUGCUAAUAGAGCGCCAGCAAGCCUGAAUUAAACAGUGCGAGCUGCGCAGCACUGGUUACUGUUAGAUUUGUUCCCAUCCUGAAAAAUCAUUUGAAGUAUCAGUGCGUGUGGCUGCCGUGGAUUUGUUUGUACCCCAGGACUAGGAUCCUCUGCGAAGUUAUAUGCAAAACUGUUUACAAAUAGACAUUUCACCCACAGAAAAUCUUUCCAAAUCCAGUUGUAACAGAGAGAUGAGACAGCGAGGGGGAAAGGCACACGAAGCGUAUUACUCAAGCAUAUGAUUUGGAGUUACGAUGCUUGAACUCGGGAAGAACAUGAAGUUGACUUUAUGGAUGACCCUAAAUUUGCACCUUUGGGUGUUUCAGAGGCAUUAAUACACAAGCAGGGUCCAGUUCCAGCCUUUACUCGGGUAAAGCUACCUUAGAUAGCCACGAAACUUCGCCUCAAUAAGGACUGCCAGCUUGACUUUCCAUCCCUUCACCUCCCAGCUGAAAUCCUUCCAGUGAUUGCCUUAAAUUUCCUGACUGAAGCAAGGGAAGACUGGUGAAAAGCACAAAGAAAGGUUGGCAUUUAAAGGGAGAUGUUCAACUGAUACAGAACAGCUCCGCUGACAUCAUUGGUAGCUACAGCAAUUGAUAUCAGCUGAUGAUCUGCCCUUUAUAUUCCAAGAACCCCAGAGUGCUGGGUCACUUUGGCAUCCAUAAGCUGAUUUUUUUCCUCUGCCUCAAAAAGUUGUUCUGAGGGGACCUGGAUGAAUAACGGUGUAUGCGUCAGGUUAACAAUUCGUCACAUUUAAAAGAUUUUAUUGAAUCUUCCCUGAUUUUGGUGCUCCAUCGUGCAACUCUCACUGGAGUCAGGAAGAGGUUUUCCAUUCAAAAGUCAGCUGUGAAUUAAAGAAAGGAUUGUAUGGAAAUUUGAAACCGCACACAGACAAGUCCAACCCUGAGAGGCAAAGGAGAAGUUGUGGCUCCAUUUGAUGUCCAUCCCUUAUUUCUCAGAACAGCUAUAAGAACAGCGCUUCCCGAUGACUUCUGACAAUUUGCAUAGAUAAUUAACUUGCACAGAUUGAAAACCCGCAAUAAAUAGUUUCCCCUA